rnacentral:rRNA from 1 species
UACGAAGGGGGCGAGCGUUGUCCGGAUUUAUUGGGCGUAAAGAGCUCGUAGGCGGCUUGUCGCGUCGACUGUGAAAACCCGAGGCUCAACUUCGGGCUUGCAGUCGAUACGGGCAGGCUAGAGUUCGGUAGGGGAGACUGGAAUUCCUGGUGUAGCGGUGAAAUGCGCAGAUAUCAGGAGGAACACCGAUGGCGAAGGCAGGUCUCUGGGCCGAUACUGACGCUGAGGAGCGAAAGCGUGGGGAGCGAACAGG